rnacentral:lncRNA from 1 species
UCUUGGGUUUUCAAAAUCAUGUAUUCAUUUUAUUAUCAAAGAAGAAAUGAUUUAUUCAAUAAAUAUUUAGAAAUGAAUGAUGAAAGAGAGACCCAACUAUGAAUCAAUGGUGACCACUGGUGGCAUAUAAGUCAUGGAUGAUGAAUAUGAGAAGAAAAGAAUCUAGGUUUUUGCUUCUGUUGGAAAUGAUCCUGUAGACAAUGUCAGAAACAUACAAAGAUCAUUUUCUUAUCUUGGGGUCAUAGAUUUAGGUUUAUUAUUACUAAUAUAUGAAUGAUAGAACCAUUAAACAAAUAUAAACAGAUUACAAGUAGAGAUUUAAGCUACAGUGUCCAGCUAUGAAUAUAGGAGAUGAGAUAAAUUAUUACUAAAAAUAGGAGAUACUGAUUCCUCUUAUCAAAGAAAUGGAUCACAGUGUUUCCUCUUUGACUAAGGAUUAUAUAGAAUCUAACAAGUAAGAGUCAGUUUUAUUUUCUUGGUCAGAGAUUGUUUCUUCUGUUAAGAGAGAAAGACACCUAUAAUAUGAAAAAUUAGUAAAUACCCAAAUCACUGAAUAAAUGCUAUGCAGAAAGGCAGGAUCAACAGAGAUUAGGUCUCAAUGUUUUUAGUCUGCUCUGUACUCCUCAGAAUGGACAGACCCGGGCUGAUUUUGGUGUUCUGUGGCUAUGAGAUCAGUGGUUGCCUCCAUGUGUUAGGAACAUGGAGACUGACGUAAUAGUCAAACUUCUUGUCUCAGUUUCAGUGUUCUUCUGAAGGGUAUGCAGUAAGUGCAAAAUGUAAUCAGUGACUGCCAACCAUUACCCAAAUGUAAAAAAUGUAAUUAUUAUAUAUGAAGCCUUGAGGUCAGUUGAUCUACAGGCAGAUGUUAGAAAUAUUAUUAUAUUUCUGCUUAUUCCAUAGGCAGAUGUUAGAAAUAUUCAAGAAUCUUGUCUUCUAGUUUUUGUGAUUCUUGGUAUUUAUUUUAGUAUUAUUAGAUUUUUGAUGUAUUAUUCAAUGAUAUGAAUGAAGAAAAUGAGAGCCAAGCCUGGAUCAAUGAUGUCCACUGGUGGCGUAUAAAUCAUAUUUGGUGAAUAUAUGUCUGGAACUCUGAGGUCCAAGAAGGAAGGAAUCUAGGUUAUUGCCUCUUUUAGAAAUAAUCCUAUAGAUUAUUUAAGAAUAUAUAAGGAUCUUAUUUGGCCUUUUUAAAUGAGUUUUUACUCUAUCAUAAUAAAUUGAUCAAUAAAAGGAUCAACAUAUGGAUACAAAUACAUAAAGGUAAAUAGGGUGAAGCAUCAUCAAAUUAUGGAAAGAUGUGGUGGCAAGAGAAUCCACGUGUAUGUACACUGAAGACACUGAAUGUCAUUAAAAAACCAAUGGUUCAGGCUGUUACACCUGGUUAAAAAUCAUGCAGGUAACAUAAAUAAUAGCCUGUAUUCUGUAUUAGAAAUAGCAAAGAUCCGAUUGUGUUUCGUAGCUAUCGAUUAUAUCUUCAUAAGUUGAUUAGUGCACAAAUAACCAAAGAAAUGUAUGAAUACACGAAGAAAAAUGGAACCAAGUAUGGACUAAGUAUGUCCUCUAUAAAGUUGCUCUUAGUUAGAAACAAAUUGUAGGAUUUUACUAGGGUCGGAUAGGCAUUUCUGUUCUAGAUUUCUGAAAAUGAAAAGAUUACUCAUUUUGUUGAAAAGGAAUAGCUGGUUGGAAAAAUUAAUUCGUUUGUUCCUGAAUUAUAAACUCAUUUAGACUAAUAAUGAAUGAGUUAAUAGAUAAAAAGAUCAAGAACUGACCACUCAUGAGACUGUGUUAUAAAGCCAGGAAUGAGAAGAAGCUGAUUCUGUAAAGCAAAGCUAACUUGCAGAGAAUAGCAAGACGAUUACAUGUUUGAGUGGCGGCACUGGGGCCAAUAUGUCCCAUAGUCAGAUGUUUUUCUUAAUGCAGGUGAUGGAUUCAAGAAUGUUCACUAUUGAUGUAAAAUUCAUAACUUAAAUAAUUCAAUAAAUAAAAGGAGAGUGAAUCUAAUCUAAGGAUGGGGAGUGUCGUGAACCAAUGUUUGAGAUGAACCUAACCCUGAUCAUUUCAUAUUUAUUCAGACACAGCCUGAAUCUUGUUGUUUCUUACCUGUAACAUCUACUUUGUACUUCGCAGGGUUGAUGUUCAUGGGUGAUUGAUCAUCCUGUAGCGACGGUGGUAUUGACUGUUCCCCAGAGGACAAGGAGUG